UACGUAGGGUGCAAGCGUUGUCCGGAAUUAUUGGGCGUAAAGAGCUCGUAGGCGGUCUGUCGCGUCUGCUGUGAAAACUCAGGGCUUAACCCUGAGCUUGCAGUGGGUACGGGCAGACUAGAGUGUGGUAGGGGAGACUGGAAUUCCUGGUGUAGCGGUGAAAUGCGCAGAUAUCAGGAGGAACACCGGUGGCGAAGGCGGGAUCUCUGGGCCUAC
rnacentral:rRNA from 1 species